rnacentral:rRNA from 1 species
CAGCAGCCACGGGAAUACAGAGGGUGCGAGCGUUAAUCGGAUUUACUGGGCGUAAAGCGUGCGUAGGCGGCUUCUUAAGUCGGAUGUGAAAUCCCUGAGCUUAACUUAGGAAUUGCAUUCGAUACUGGGAAGCUAGAGUAUGGGAGAGGAUGGUAGAAUUCCAGGUGUAGCGGUGAAAUGCGUAGAGAUCUGGAGGAAUACCGAUGGCGAAGGCAGCCAUCUGGCCUAAUACUGACGCUGAGAUACGAAAGCAUGGGGAGCAAACAGGAUUAGAUACCCCUGUAGUCCCUGUCUCUUAACA